GCAAGUCGAGCGAUGAAACUUCCUUCGGGAAGUGGAUUAGCGGCGAACGGGUGAGUAACACGUGAGUAACCUGCCUCAAAGAGGGGGAUAGCCUUCCGAAAGGAAGAUUAAUACCGCAUAACAUAUAGAAAACACAUGUUUUCUAUAUCAAAGGAGCAAUCCGCUUUGAGAUGGACUCGCGGCGCAUUAGCUAGUUGGUAGGGUAAUGGCCUACCAAGGCUACGAUGGGUAGCUGGUCUGAGAGGAUGAUC
rnacentral:rRNA from 1 species